UGGGUAAUAAUUUAAAUAAAAUAUUUGAUUUGCUUUUAAAAAAUGCCUUUAGCUUACCUUU
rnacentral:tRNA from 1 species